CAUAAAAUCUUAUAGUAUUAAAAUAAGCCAAAGAAAAAUCAUUUAGACAAAAAUCAAAAGGAUCCCAAAUCUAAUUUACAGAAAAUAUUUCUUUAUUAACCUUUGGUCGAGAAUAUGUUUAUAUAUUUCCAGAAAAGCCCAUAUAGAUUCCUACAACAACGGAUACCAAAGAGGACCUGAUAGAACUGUUCCAGCCAUAGAGUGGGCAGUGGCCCACAAGAACAAAGGUAAAAUAGUCCAGUAAUAAAUAUAAUGAAGACACCUUGCCAUAAUAGCAAUCAGCAGCUGUACAUUACUACAAGUUGCCCAGGACCAAGGACAAGGAAGAAGGAGCAAUGCAGACAAUUCAGGUGCCAGAGCAUUACGUCCGUCACCACAAUAGACUCAGACAAGCUCCUGUGUCCCUUCACUCAAAAGGACUAAGUACUGCCCUAAAGACAGCAAAGCAGAGGAAGAAGAAAACUAAAAGCUACGCAAGGGACUGAAGUACCAACAUAGAGUCAUCUAAAGAAGUUAACGACUCAAGUGCAGCAGAUUAUGGAAAAGCAAGAAGUUGAAGCUACUUCUUCAAUCAUGUUCCUGCUCAUACUAGCAACUGUUAGCUGCCAGUCUUCUGCAAAGUCUUGUGCAGCCAAGUCCAAGGACUCUAAUAUACACCAGCAGCACAAGAGACUUUCUUUCAUUUAGUAGCUAAAAAUAUUAAUAUGUCCAUAGUUUUAAUUUC